rnacentral:rRNA from 1 species
UACGUAGGGGGCGAGCGUUGUCCGGAUUUAUUGGGCGUAAAAGGCUUGUAGGUGGCCACGUCAAGUCGGAUGUGAAAUCUCCCGGCUCAACUGGGAGGGGUCAUUCGAUACUGGCGGGCUCGAGGCCGGUAGGGGGAAGCGGAAUUCCGGGUGUAGUGGUGGAAUGCGUAGAUAUCCGGAGGAACACCUAUAGCGAAGGCAGCUUGCUGGGACGUUACUGACGCUGAGGCG